CGUAAACAACCUGCCUUCAGGAUGGGGACAACAGACGGAAACGACUGCUAAUACCGAAUAAGUUCCAAGAGCCGCAUGGCCCAUGGAAGAAAAGGUGGCCUCUACCUGUAAGCUAUCGCCUGAAGAGGGGUUUGCGUCUGAUUAGCUGGUUGGAGGGGUAACGGCCCACCAAGGCGACGAUCAGUAGCCGGUCUGAGAGGAUGAACGGCCACACUGGAACUGAGACACGGUCCAGACUCCUACGGGAGGCAGCAUG
rnacentral:rRNA from 1 species